GUAGGCUACUAGAAUGGUCAAGCAUGACUCUCCCUUUGUGAAUCCACGUUGAUUACUCUUCUAACCUUAGUUUCUUCCACUUGCUGAGAGAUUGCAUCCCGGAUAGGUUAACAUCACCUUCCCAGAGGCAGAGGCACCUCUCUCAUUCUCCAAGACUUUUCAAAGAUGAUAGAGGCUUGGCAGUCCCUUCUGCUAGCUCCCUCAGCAUUCAUGGAUGCAUCCUGUUGGGGCCCAUGGAUUUGUGUGCAUCCAAUUUUUCUAGAUGAUCUCUGAUCAGAUCUUCCUUGACCAAGGGAAAAUGUUCCUUUCUCCAGACUCUUUCUUACCUUCAGAAUAUGGGAUUCCUGAGGGCCAGUAUGUUACCAGAUAUAGACAUAGAUUCAAUUUCCUUGAUUUAUUUCAAACUGUGCAACUGGACCUAAAAAGAAAAAGUGGUCUUAAUUUGGGAAAAUAAAACAAACAGAAACAAUAAA